rnacentral:rRNA from 1 species
GACGAACGCUGGCGGCGUGCUUAACACAUGCAAGUCGAACGGAAAGGCCCUGCUUUUGUGGGGUGCUCGAGUGGCGAACGGGUGAGUAACACGUAAGUAACCUGCCCUUGACUUUGGGAUAACUUCAGGAAACUGGGGCUAAUACCGGAUAGGAGCUCCUGCUGCAUGGUGGGGGUUGGAAAGUUUCGGCGGUUGGGGAUGGACUCGCGGCUUAUCAGCUUGUUGGUGGGGUAGUGGCUUACCAAGGCUUUGACGGGUAGCCGGCCUGAGAGGGUGACCGGCCACAUUGGGACUGAGAUACGGCCCAGACUCCUACGGGAGGCAGCAGUGGGGAAUAUUGCACAAUGGGCGGAAGCCUGAUGCAGCAACGCCGCGUGCGGGAUGACGGCCUUCGGGUUGUAAACCGCUUUCGCCUGUGACGAAGCGCGAGUGACGGUAAUGGGUAAAGAAGCACCGGCUAACUACGUG